GAUGAAGAACGUAGCGAAAUGCGAUAAGUAAUGUGAAUUGCAGAAUUCAGUGAAUCAUCGAAUCUUUGAACGCACAUUGCGCCCGCUAGUAUUCUGGCGGGCAUGCCUGUCCGAGCGUCAUUUCAACCCUCAAGCCCCCGGGCUUGGUGUUGGGGAUCGGCGAGCCUCCGCGCCCGCCGUCCCCUAAAUCUAGUGGCGGUCUCGCUGUAGCUUCCUCUGCGUAGUAGCACACCUCGCACUGGGAAACAGCGCGGCCACGCCGAUAAACCCCCAACUUCUGAACGUUUGACCUCGGAUCAGGUAGGAAUACCCGCUGAACUUAAGCAUAUCAAUAAGCGGAGGA
rnacentral:misc_RNA from 1 species